rnacentral:rRNA from 1 species
UCAGUAACACGUAGUCAACAUGCCCAGGGACGUGGAUAAUCUCGGGAAACUGAGAAUAAACCACGAUAGGUCACGAUUUCUGGAAUGGAUCUUGGCUCAAAUCUACAUGGCCCCUGGAUUGGACUGCGGCCGAUCAGGCUGUUGGUGAGGUAAUGGCCCACCAAACCUAUAACCGGUACGGGCUCUGAGAGGAGGAGCCCGGAGAUGGGCACUGAGACAAGGGCCCAGGCCCUAUGGGGCGCAGCAGGCGCGAAACCUCUGCAAUAGGCGAAAGCCUGACAGGGUUACUCUGAGUGAUUCCCGCUAAGGGGAUCUUUUGGCACCUCUAAAAAUGGUGCAGAAUAAGGGGUGGGCAAGUCUGGUGCCA